UUUUUUUCCGGCAAAGAAUUAAUGAAAUUAAAAGAGGGACACUUUAGGGGUGUCCCAACCCGUGUACAAGAAUUUGGAGCACAUACAAGGCUCUCACCUACAAAAGGAAUGCAAUAACAUGUCCUAAAACUACUAAGAAAAAAAGCACACUUCCAGCAAAGUGCCCAAAAAACUAAACCACACCAAAAGAACAACCAACAAAGAAACAAUAUGGUGCCAUCAAACUAUAUGGGGACAAAAACACAAUUCAUCCCAGCCAAAAAACCAAUAUUCCCCCAACCGUGCCUAUUGUUUUGUGACAGCUCCAGCACGUCAAUCUUAAAAUUGCUAAAAGGACAUCCAUUCUUCAAAAUUUCAGCAAAGGAAUUUGAUUCUGGUUUGAAGACAACAUCUUGAAGUACACAAAGUUCCAACUAGUUGCAGUCCUAUAACAACAACACCUUUGUUAACCCAGCUACCCAUCCUUUGCUGCAUAAAUUUUGUACCUAAAAACCUUAAAUGAUAACAUCUUCAGCCCACCACUUACUCUUCCAUCUACCUUCCAAGAUCUUUUCUACUUUAUUCACUCUUUAAAGGAUUAAAAGGCUGCUCCCCGCCGACUGUACCUGCACCAUUAAAAACAAAACAACCUUCCCCACCUCUCAAACUGAACCAAGAAGAACAUAAAAACCCAUAACAUUGACCUUAAGUGAAAUAUUCAAUAUUUAUUACAUCCAACCACUAAUACAAAAAAUCUUAAAGCUUGUACUGGUACCUUUAAUAUAUAUGCAGCAGGUUAUGAAAAAGUUAAAAAAAAAAACGCCUUUAUUCACUUAACUAGUUACCAUGUUAAUACAGGUUACAUGUGAUAGUAUCCAAU
rnacentral:lncRNA from 1 species